AUGUCUUCUGGACUUGCACUUUAUUUCUUCUCGCUCAGACGAGGCUGCUGUGUCCGCUGCUGCUCUGCAAGCUUCGCAAGGCCACCCAAGGAUGACAAGAGGAAGAAGGAUGCUGGAAAGUCAGCCAAGAAAGACAAAGACCCAGUGAACAAAUCCGGGGGCAAGGCCAAAAAGAAGAAGCGGUCCAAAGGCAAAGUUCGGGACAAGCUCAAUAACUUGGUCUUGUUUGACAAAGCUACCUACGACAAACUCUGUAAGGAAGUUCCCAACUAUAAACUAUAACCCCAGCUAUGGUCUCUGAGAGACUGAAGAUUCGAGGUUCCCUGGCCAGGGCAGCCCUUCAGGAGCUCCUUAGUAAAGGACUUAUCAAACUGGUUUCAAAGUACAGAGCUCAAGUAAUUUACACCAGAAAUACCAAGGGCGGAGAUGCUCCAGCUGCUGGUGAAGAUGCAUGAAUAGGUCCAACCAACUGUACAUUUGGAAAAAUAAAACUUUAUUCAAUCAAAAAAAAAAAAAAAA